UGGUCAAAUUUCUUAAAAAUCCUAUAACCAUUAAAUUUUAAUGGAUCGGUAUUGUUAUUUAAAAAAAAUUAUAAUAUUAAAAAAAUUAUAACUUCUUUUUUAUAAAUUUUGUUUAUAAUUUUUAUGAUUUUUAAGUAUUUUUUAAAUUUUAAAAGGGUUUAAUUGAUUUUUCUAAUUUGUUACUUGUAAGGCCCAAUUUUGGCCCGGGUCUGCAUAAAUAAAAAUAAAGUCCAAAUAUAAAUUCAAAGUCCAAUUAGCAAUCCAAAUUACAAAAUCAAGCCCAUUGGCUAACCCUAGCCCGACGGCCCAACACCAAGCAGCACUCAGAAACCCCAGCGUCGCAACCAGGCUUUGCCCUCGCACGAACCGCGCCUUUGAGCCACUCCCCUCACGUGCGCCUCCGUACCCUCUGCAUCUGCCACGCACACCGCUACAUCAGCACCGUACGCCUGCAACAAACACAAAACGAGCAACGCAAGACCAAAAGAAAACAAAAAAAUAGCAAUUGUAAAAAAGGGAAAUUUGCGAUUUCGAUUUUCUUUUUGAUUUUCUUUUCGACUAUAUAAAGCCACCAAACAGAAUCUGUAAAGUUUUUUAUAUACACAGAGAUUGAAUACAAAGAAAAAAAGGUGAUUUACCAUAUUUUGCGUCUUUCUACUGCACCCUUUUUUUAUUUUUCUUUCUUUCUUUGAUACGAAAAACAGAAAAUAAAAGGAAGAACCCUUACCUGGGUUUGGUGUCGCCGAAUCCCUCCUCCACUCAGAUCGGAGUUGAAUGGAUGAGCGGGCUUUCGAUUUUUGAUGCGGCGCAGAAGGAAUCGGGGCUUAGGGUUGCUGGUUGUUUUGAAAAGAAAAAUAAAAAUGACUUAGUUUUUCUAAUUUAGGGUUUAGAAUGAGGUUUUAGAUAUUCCAAACGGCACCGUUUGGGGCUAGACUUAGUGGCUCCCAAAACGGUGCCGUACAUACCAUUGACCCGAUGACCCGACCCGGAUGCGGUGAGAUCCGCGUGUUCUGGCAUGGGGAGGGAGAUUUGUGCUAAAGGUCCUUCUUCUCUUGCAGAAUUUUUUAAAUCGGUCCUUUUAUUUUUUUUAUUUUUACCUUGCAUUUUGAUAUUGUCACGUUUUGGUCUAUGUCACUGCACUGCGUUUUGGGGAAGCGGGAUAUUUCCCAUUUGGCUCCCCCCGUAAUUCACGAAUUGCAUUUUGACCCUCUAUUUCUUUUAAAUUACAUUUGUGGCCAGUUAAUUUUGUUUUGUCUACAGUUUAGUCCCUUUUGUUUUUUUUACUAUUCAGUAACAUUAUUAUUA
rnacentral:lncRNA from 1 species